rnacentral:rRNA from 1 species
CACCGCGGUUAUACGAGAGGCCCAAGUUGACAAAUGCCGGCGUAAAAUGUGGUUAACAUCCCCUUCAAACUAAAGCCAAACAUCUUCAGAGCUGUUAUACCCACACGAAGACAGGAAGCACUUCCACGAAAGUGGCUUUAAACAAUGUUACUCCACGAAAGCUAGGAAA